AGUGAACGCUGGCGGUAGGCCUAACACAUGCAAGUCGAACGGCAGCACAGAGGAGCUUGCUCCUUGGGUGGCGAGUGGCGGACGGGUGAGGAAUACAUCGGAAUCUACUCUGUCGUGGGGGAUAACGUAGGGAAACUUACGCUAAUACCGCAUACGACCUACGGGUGAAAGCAGGGGAUCUUCGGACCUUGCGCGAUUGAAUGAGCCGAUGUCGGAUUAGCUAGUUGGCGGGGUAAAGGCCCACCAAGGCGACGAUCCGUAGCUGGUCUGAGAGGAUGAUCAGCCACACUGGAACUGAGACACGGUCCAGACUCCUACGGGAGGCAGCAGUGGGGAAUAUUGGACAAUGGGCGCAAGCCUGAUCCAGCCAUACCGCGUGGGUGAAGAAGGCCUUCGGGUUGUAAAGCCCUUUUGUUGGGAAAGAAAUCUAGCUGGCUAAUA
rnacentral:rRNA from 1 species